GAUGAACGCUGGCGGCGUGCCUAAUACAUGCAAGUCGAGCGAACAGAUGAGGAGCUUGCUCCUCUGACGUUAGCGGCGGACGGGUGAGUAACACGUGGAUAACCUACCUAUAAGACUGGGAUAACUUCGGGAAACCGGAGCUUAUACCGGAUAAUAUAUUGAACCGCAUGGUUCAAUAGUGAAAGACGGUUUUGCUGUCACUUAUAGAUGGAUCCGCGCCGCAUUAGCUAGUUGGUAAGGUAACGGCUUACCAAGGCAACGAUGCGUAGCCGACCUGAGAGGGGGAUCAGCCAAACUGGAAAUGAGACACGGGCCCGACUCCUAAGGGAGGGAGAAGGGGGGAAUAUUGCCCAAUGGGCGGAAGCCUGAACGAGCCAACCCGGGGGGGGGAAGAAGGCUUUCGGGGUCGAAAACCCUUUUUUUGGGGAAAAAAAAAAGUUGGAAAAAACCACGCAGUUCUGACGGUACCCAAAGAAGAAGCCCCGGCUAAAUUAGUG
rnacentral:rRNA from 1 species